CUAAAACUCUAACCAGUGGAAAAGGUACUUGUGUGGAUCCUCUGAACCCUGAGUGGAACUUCCUGAAAGAUUUAUUUGGAGAAAAAUCUUGGAAGCAGCAGAAGGACAAACAGAAUGGCUGGCUGGGCAAAGCCUCGUGGCCCGGUCUCCACAACUGGAGGGCAGUUACAUCUUAGAGAAUCCCAUCAUACCUUGGAUUUUGGUGCUAUCAGUCUGAAAAGCAGACGUACCUGUCUGGUACUCUAG
rnacentral:lncRNA from 1 species